rnacentral:rRNA from 1 species
UAAGCGUGUAGGCUGGUUUUCCAGGCAAAUCCGGAAAAUCAAGGCUGAGGCGUGAUGACGAGGCACUACGGUGCUGAAGCAACAAAUGCCCUGCUUCCAGGAAAAGCCUCUAAGCAUCAGGUAACAUCAAAUCGUACCCCAAACCGACACAGGUGGUCAGGUAGAGAAUACCAAGGCGCUUGAGAGAACUCGGGUGAAGGAACUAGGCAAAAUGGUGCCGUAACUUCGGGAGAAGGCACGCUGAUAUGUAGGUGAAGUCCCUCGCGGAUGGAGCUGAAAUCAGUCGAAGAUACCAGCUGGCUGCAACUGUUUAUUAAAAACACAGCACUGUGCAAACACGAAAGUGGACGUAUACGGUGUGACGCCUGCCCGGUGCCGGAAGGUUAAUUGAUGGGGUUAGCGCAAGCGAAGCUCUUGAUCGAAGCCCCGGUAAACGGCGGCCGUAACUAUAACGGUCCUAAGGUAGCGAAAUUCCUUGUCGGGUAAGUUCCGACCUGCACGAAUGGCGUAAUGAUGGCCAGGCUGUCUCCACCCGAGACUCAGUGAAAUUGAACUCGCUGUGAAGAUGCAGUGUACCCGCGGCAAGACGGAAAGACCCCGUGAACCUUUACUAUAGCUUGACACUGAACAUUGAGCCUUGAUGUGUAGGAUAGGUGGGAGGCUUUGAAGUGUGGACGCCAGUCUGCAUGGAGCCGACCUUGAAAUACCACCCUUUAAUGUUUGAUGUUCUAACGUGGACCCGUAAUCCGGGUUGCGGACAGUGUCUGGUGGGUAGUUUGACUGGGGCGGUCUCCUCCUAAAGAGUAACGGAGGAGCACGAAGGUUGGCUAAUCCUGGUCGGACAUCAGGAGGUUAGUGCAAUGGCAUAAGCCAGCUUGACUGCGAGCGUGACGGCGCGAGCAGGUGCGAAAGCAGGUCAUAGUGAUCCGGUGGUUCUGAAUGGAAGGGCCAUCGCUCAACGGAUAAAAGGUACUCCGGGGAUAACAGGCUGAUACCGCCCAAGAGUUCAUAUCGACGGCGGUGUUUGGCACCUCGAUGUCGGCUCAUCACAUCCUGGGGCUGAAGUAGGUCCCAAGGGUAUGGCUGUUCGCCAUUUAAAGUGGUACGCGAGCUGGGUUUAGAACGUCGUGAGACAGUUCGGUCCCUAUCUGCCGUGGGCGCUGGAGAACUGAGGGGGGCUGCUCCUAGUACGAGAGGACCGGAGUGGACGCAUCACUGGUGUUCGGGUUGUCAUGCCAAUGGCACUGCCCGGUAGCUAAAUGCGGAAGAGAUAAGUGCUGAAAGCAUCUAAGCACGAAACUUGCC